AAUGCACCAAUUUGUAGUCGCUCUGGAUAAGAGCGUCUGCUAAAUGACUUAAA
rfam:Salmo salar isolate Sally breed double haploid chromosome ssa18, whole genome shotgun sequence.